AGUGAACGCUGGCGGUAGGCCUAACACAUGCAAGUCGAACGGCAGCACAGUAAGAGCUUGCUCUUACGGGUGGCGAGUGGCGGACGGGCGAGGAAUACAUCGGAAUCUACUUUUUCGUGGGGGAUAACGGAGGGAAACUUACGCUAAUAUCGCAUACGACCUACGGGUGAAAUCAGGGGAUCUUCGGACCUUGCGCGAUUGAAUGAGCCGAUGUCGGAUUAGCUAGUUGGCGGGGUAAAGGCCCACCAAGGCGACGAUCCGUAGCUGGUCUGAGAGGAUGAUCAGUCACACUGGAACUGACACACGGUCCAGACUCCUACGGGAGGCAACAGUGGGGAAUAUUAGACAAUGGGCGCCAGCCUGAUCCAGCCAUACCACGUGGGUGAAGAAGGCCUUCGGGUUGUAAAGCCCUUUUGUUGGGAAAGAAAAGCAGCAGGUUGAUACCCCGCUGUUCUGACGGUACCCAAAGAAUAAGCACCGGCUAACUUCGUG
rnacentral:rRNA from 1 species